rnacentral:rRNA from 1 species
AACGAACGCUGGCGGCAGGCCUAAUACAUGCAAGUCGAGGGGCAGCGCGGUAGCAAUACUGGCGGCGACCGGCGCACGGGUGCGUAACACGUAUGCAACCUACCUUCAACUGGAGGAUAGCCCGGGGAAACUCGGAUUAAUACUCCAUAACACAGGGAUCCCGCAUGGGAAUAUUGUUAAAGCUACGGCGGUUGAAGAUGGGCAUGCGUUCGAUUAGCUAGUUGGUGUAGGUAACGGCUCACCAAGGCUACGAUCGAUAGGGGGUCUGAGAGGAUGAUCCCCCACACUGGUACUGAGAUACGGACCAGACUCCUACGGGAGGCAGCAGUAGGGAAUAUUGGUCAAUGGGCGCAAGCCUGAACCAGCCAUGCCGCGUGCAGGAAGAAGGCCCUCUGGGUUGUAAACUGCUUUUGAUAGGGAACAAAUGCCACUUGCGAGUGGAGCUGAGUGUACCUAUAGAAUAAGCACCGGCUAACUCCGUGCCAGCAGCCG